ACGGGAGGCAGCAGUGGGGGAUAUUGCACAAUGGGGGAAACCCUGAUGCAGCGACGCCGCGUGAGUGAUGAAGUAUUUCGGUAUGUAAAGCUCUAUCAGCAGGGAAGAAAAUGACGGUACCUGACCAAGAAGCUCCGGCUAAAUACGUGCCAGCAGCCGCGGUAAUACGUAUGGAGCAAGCGUUAUCCGGAUUUACUGGGUGUAAAGGGAGCGUAGACGGUGACGCAAGUCUGAAGUGAAAGGUGUGGGCUCAACCCGCAAACUGCUUUGGAAACUGUGUGACUAGAGUGUCGGAGAGGUAAGUGGAAUUCCUAGUGUAGCGGUGAAAUGCGUAGAUAUUAGGAGGAACACCAGUGGCGAAGGCGGCUUACUGGACGAUAACUGACGUUGAGGCUCGAAAGCGUGGGGAGCAAACAGGAUUAGAUACCCUGGUA
rnacentral:rRNA from 1 species